AAAGAAACAACAAAAACGACGUCCCUGUCAUGACAGGUCAUUUUCUUAAAAAACAAAAACAAAAACAAAAUUAAACAGUUUUGAUCUGUUGGGGGCAUACGACUCCUGAAUGAAUUUUUCCUUUUGUUUUUGUUUUUCCAAAAUGUGGCUGUAAUGUACGUGUGAACAUCUUCAAAGAAUUCUAAGAUGGAUGGUUUUGCGAAGAAAAAUCAUAACGCACAAAGCAGCAGUUUCUUUCUAAUGUUUUCCUGGACAGAUACUUCCCCACGUAACUGAAGAAAGGAACAGAGGAUGGUGGGGCUGGGGGCAGAGAGCUAUGAUUAGAACAUUCAAAGAUUUGAGUGUGAGUUUGUGGUUCUGAAAGGAUAAACACGCAGACCUCUCAGCGAGGCUGGGGCGAUCAUCGACGAUAGCACUGAGGGAGGGCAGGACUUGAGGCUGCAGGUACAGACCUUAGUUCAUCUGUGCAGAGGCACAGAUAGCGUCAACCUACAGAGAUCGGGCUGGUAGAGGGACGGGUGUGUUCUGGGUUCUGAAGGACUCCCUUUGGCUUGGUCCUUCCAGGCAUGGUUAGAAGCGGACAAGCUGUUGAAGCUACUACAUUCUAUUCAUCUUUCCCCAGGGCUGUGUUGGCCUGCGUUGAUCCAGCAUACCACCACACACAUCUUCUAAACAUUCUGCUGUUGCACUGCUUGUGGGGUUAGAAGCCUUGCCUGUCUGGUACAAAUUCGGUCAGGAAGUUCCUGACUUUGGGAUGCUGCUAAUGGACUUCUGAAUGGCAGUGUAAGGGUGCCUGGAUGUGACAUUUGAGCAGAACGAUGGC
rnacentral:lncRNA from 1 species